rnacentral:rRNA from 1 species
AUUGAACGCUGGCGGCAGGCUUAACACAUGCAAGUCGAGCGGAGAUGAGGUGCUUGCACCUUAUCUUAGCGGCGGACGGGUGAGUAAUGCAUCGGAACAUGCCCAGUCGUGGGGGAUAACACUUCGAAAGAAGUGCUAAUACCGCAUACGUCCUGAGGGAGAAAGCGGGGGAUCGCAAGACCUCGCGCGAUUGGAGUGGCCGAUGUCAGAUUAGCUAGUUGGUGGGGUAAAGGCCUACCAAGGCAACGAUCUGUAGCUGGUCUGAGAGGAUGAUCAGCCACACUGGGACUGAGACACGGCCCAGACUCCUACGGGAGGCAGCAGUGGGGAAUUUUGGACAAUGGGGGCAACCCUGAUCCAGCCAUUCCGCGUGAGUGAAGAAGGCCUUCGGGUUGUAAAGCUCUUUCGGCAGGAACGAAACGGUGAGCUCUAACAUAGCUUGCUAAUGACGGUACCUGAAGAAGAAGCACCGGCUAACUACGUGCCAGCCGCCGCGGUAAUAC